CAUCAAUCUGUACAUUUAUGAUGUGUGUACUUCUCUCCAGAUGGUGGAUAGCUUGAGGCCAGGAGUUCAAAACCAGGGUAGUCAACAUGGCAUAACCCCAUCUCUACUAAAAAUACAAAAACCAGCCAGGCAUGGUGGCACAUGCCUAUAAUCCCAAAGGUAAAAAAUACAGCUUCUAGAAGAAAACGUAGAUGAAUAUUUUCUUUCUUUUUUUUUUCUGAGACAAAGUCUCCUUUUGUUGCCCAGGCUGGAGUGCAAUGGUGACCAUGGCAAAAAACAGAUAACCCCAUUAAAAAGUGGGCAAAGGACAUGUAUUUCUUCUCAGAAGACAUAUAUGUGGCCAACAAACAUGAAAAAAUGCUCAACAUCACUAAUCACCAGAGAAAUGCAAAUUAAAACCACAGUGAGAUACCACCUCAAACCACUCAGAAU
rnacentral:lncRNA from 1 species